AGAAUGCUAACCGCUCAAAAAGGUUACUUGAAGACCACAACGGCCCUCAGUUUACCGCUUUACACACCAAAGAAGUCUCAUUCAUCAUUUCUCUCAUCAGGGAGCGAUUCGCAGACGUUAUGAUCUUAGGCCGAGAACUAGUACGAUUGUUACAAAAUGUUUCACGUAUCCCAGAAUUUGAGCUAUUAUGGAAAGAUAUUUUGUACAAUCCCAAAACACUUUCUCCAGCCUUCACUGGCGUUUUACAACUGAUGCAAGUUAAAACUAGUCGUCGAUUUCUGCGCUGUCGCCUCACUCCAGAAGUAGAACGGAAGUUGCAUUUUCUUGUCAGUAACGUCAAAUUUGGAAAUCAGAAGAGCACAAAUCGUCACUGACACCAGAUGCCACAAAGCAACCACCAAAAACACCUUUCGGCGGAACGAAACAACGACCGCAAGCUCCAGAAAUCCUUUCCGGAAAUGUGAAACAGGAACAGCAAACACCAGAUAAUCUUCCCGGCAACGUGUAAUAGCAGCAGUAAUUACCGCCGAACAAUUUUUACUGCUGUGUAAUAAUGUCAUAAACUAUUAAAAUAAAGAAAGAAAAAUCUCUAUUAAAAUUUUGUAUAAACUAUUGUCUUCACCAAU